rnacentral:rRNA from 1 species
GAUGAACGCUGGCGGCGUGCCUAAUACAUGCAAGUCGAGCGAACAGACGAGGAGCUUGCUCCUCUGACGUUAGCGGCGGACGGGUGAGUAACACGUGGAUAACCUACCUAUAAGACUGGGAUAACUUCGGGAAACCGGAGCUAAUACCGGAUAAUAUAUUGAACCGCAUGGUUCAAUAGUGAAAGACGGUCUUGCUGUCACUUAUAGAUGGAUCCGCGCCGCAUUAGCUAGUUGGUAAGGUAACGGCUUACCAAGGCAACGAUGCGUAGCCGACCUGAGAGGGUGAUCGGCCACACUGGAACUGAGACACGGUCCAGACUCCUACGGGAGGCAGCAGUAGGGAAUCUUCCGCAAUGGGCGAAAGCCUGGCGGAGCAACGCCGCGUGAGUGAUGAAGGUCUUCGGAUCGUAAAACUCUGUUAUUAGGGAAGAACAAAUGUGUAAGUAACUAUGCACGUCUUGACGGUACCUAAUCAGAAAGCCACGGCUAACUACGUG